GAUGAACGCUAGCGGGAGGCCUAACACAUGCAAGCCGAGCGGUAGAGUUUCUUCGGAAACUUGAGAGCGGCGUACGGGUGCGGAACACGUGUGCAACCUGCCUUUAUCUGGGGGAUAGCCUUUCGAAAGGAAGAUUAAUACCCCAUAAUAUAUUGAUUGGCAUCAAUUAAUAUUGAAAACUCCGGUGGAUAGAGAUGGGCACGCGCAAGAUUAGAUAGUUGGUGAGGUAACGGCUCACCAAGUCAGUGAUCUUUAGGGGGCCUGAGAGGGUGAUCCCCCACACUGGUACUGAGACACGGACCAGACUCCUACGGGAGGCAGCAGUGAGGAAUAUUGGACAAUGGGUGAGAGCCUGAUCCAGCCAUCCCGCGUGAAGGACGACGGCCCUAUGGGUUGUAAACUUCUUUUGUAUAGGGAUAAACCUACCCUCGUGAGGGUAGCUGAAGGUACUAUACGAAUAAGCACAGGCUAACUCCGUGCCAGCCGCCGCAGUAACAC
rnacentral:rRNA from 1 species